rnacentral:rRNA from 1 species
GGAGAGUUUGAUCCUGGCUCAGGAUGAACGCUGGCGGCGUGCCUAAUACAUGCAAGUGGAGCGAACGGACGAGAAGCUUGCUUCUCUGAUGUUAGCGGCGGACGGGUGAGUAACACGUGGAUAACCUACCUAUAAGACUGGGAUAACUUCGGGAAACCGUAGCUAAUACCGGAUAAUAUUUUGAACCGCAUGGUUCAAAAGUGAAAGACGGUCUUGCUGUCACUUAUAGAUGGAUCCGCGCUGCAUUAGCUAGUUGGUAAGGUAACGGCUUACCAAGGCAACGAUGC